GAUUUCUGGUUUGGUGCGCUUGGCCCGCCACGGUCACGUGUGUGAGUGCCGAUGCGCGCUUGCCAUCGUCGUCUGGAGAAUGUUCCUGCCCUUUACUGGGUUGGGUUCACAAUCCAGAACUUUUACUUUGAAAAAAUUAGAGUGUUUAAAGCAGGCGUCUUUUGCUAUGAAUACAUUAGCAUGGAAUAAUAAUUUAGGACUUGAGUCUUAUUUUGUUGGUUUCCAGGACUUUAGUAAUGAUUGACAGGGAUAGUUGGGGGUGCUAGUAUUCAGCGGCCAGAGGUGAAAUUCUUGGAUUCGCUGAAGACUAACUUAUGCGAAAGCAUU
rnacentral:rRNA from 1 species